CCAGCUGGGUCCCUCACAUAGCUGCAACCUGCAACCUGACAAUCCCAAUCAAAAUGCCUCAGUAGCAGAGUAUGGAGAAUACCGUAAAUGCUUCACCACACUUCACAGUACAGAUGGAUUUAACAACGGUAUGAUAUGCAGCAGUAGGGUCAGCCUCUUAAUGUGGUUAUGACAAGGCAUUUUUGAAGCCAGCUUGGAGCCAGGGAACAGGACGGUGAAAAACAUCAAGAGAAUUUCUUGACAUCGGUGUGUGUCAGUGAUCAUGGGUUUGCUUGUAAACACUCACUAUUGAGCAAUCCAAUCAACUAAGUGAGUGGGCAGUGAUAUGGUUUCAAACAAUUGAAGAAAAACACUUCUACACAGUGAUCCAUCUAACAGACAGAUGAAAUGAUUUGCUGUGAGAGUGUGAUGGCCCUCAGUGUUUGGCUCAGCUCUGCUGCUGUCUGCUGAGUCCAUUACCCUUCCAAUGAGCCUGCGAAGAACUCUACUGUGUUUGUUUGCCAAUACCUUCUCGAAAAUGUACUGUAUGUCACACCCACUUGACCUGCUGAAAUCACAGAAUUCUUCAAAAAGUCAAACUUGCCAGAGGCAUGUUGGUCCAAGUCUGUUAUUUCCUUGUUUGCCACCAAGUUGUCAUUGUUACAACAGCCAAAAGAAAAAGCCAAAGAAAGCUGAGGGACAAUCACACCAUGCACCACCAGUCGCUCAUGUUUAUGCCUGUAACUUGGAAAUCAAGGGCCUUUGAGGUCCAAGAGGUCUGGUUGAUUGGUUGGAUGGAGCCUACUGACUUUGGUGAAUUGCCAGCAGGUCAAAGGUUAAACUUAACAACUGAAAUAUCUCAACACGUACUAGGUGGAUUGGCACAAAAUAUUGUACAGAUAUUCAUGGU